rnacentral:rRNA from 1 species
UGNUGGCACCGGCGCACGGGUGAGUAACGCGUAUCCAACCUUCCCGUCACUCGGGGACAGCCCAGCGAAAGCUGGAUUAACCCCCGAUGUUGUCAUAUGAUAGCAUUAGAGUGUGACGAAAGGCUAACGGUGACGGAUGGGGAUGCGUCUGAUUAGGUAGUAGGCGGGGUAACGGCCCACCUAGCCGACGAUCAGUAGGGGUUCUGAGAGGAAGGUCCCCCACAUUGGAACUGAGACACGGUCCAAACUCCUACGGGAGGCAGCAGUGAGGAAUAUUGGUCAAUGGGCGAGAGCCUGAACCAGCCCAAGUAGCGUGCAGGACGACGGCCCUACGGGUUGUAAACUGCUUUUAUGAAGGAAUAAAGUCACCCACGUGUGNGGUGUUUGCAUGUACUUUAUGAAUAAGGACCGGCUAAUUCCGUGCCAGCANCCGCGGUAAUACGGAAGGUCCGGGGCGUUAUCCGGAUUNUUGGGNUUUAAAGGGAGCGGUAGGCCNCCCGGUAANCCNGUUGUGAAAUGGUCGUUGGUUCAACAACGUCNCUGCAGCNCGAAUGCCGGNCUUGAAUUNUNNGGAAANNGGGCGNAAUUUUNUGGNGUCNCGGUGAANGCU